ACUGCCAUUAGAGGGAAAAAGUUUCUGAAGGUCAUCGUGGAGCCCCUUCUGGCAAUCCCUGGGCUGAGGAGCCUCAACUCUCGUUCAGAAUGUGACGCGGAGAGUGGACGGUGCCCAUGACUGAUCUGGAGACCUU